AAAAAAUAUGGCAAUGAUGAAUUGCUCCUCUUCCUCUGAGUUCACACAAAGUAAUAAAAUAUGGAUCUUUAUGACAAAAGUUAAGUUUCAUGUGAAGAACAGUUCAUAGGAGGGUUUAAUGGCUCACAGCAACGAUGGCAGAGCAUGUAACAUUACAGACGUGUCAGUUCACUGAAUCAGUGUCCCAGUGCAGCUGAGGAAAGGGUUCUGCAAAGAGGCACAAUAGUUUCUUCUCCUUGUUUGUGAGUUUCCAUCUCAUCAUCAUUUAAUUCAUCAUCUGUACUACUGCAGAUCAAUUUGACAUGGGUUAUUAACAUAUCUGGGUCCCGUGCUCCAAGCCAUAUGUCCCCGAUGUAAACAGAAGUCAGGAAUACAGAAACAGCCUUUUUGUUCACAUCCUCUUCCGUCACUGCUGACUGGCACAAUGUUUUUACAAGUUCAUGACAACUGCUGUUAGUCAGGCCUUGAGCAUCCAUCAGGUGAAGCAUGAUUGAACUGAACAAACAGAGGUCUUUUAAGUGUUCCACUGCCCCA
rnacentral:lncRNA from 1 species